CUACCACAUGUGCGACAUUAGCUCUUCCAGUAGUUAUGGUUUUGGGUGGAUUUAUCGUGGCUCGAGAGGAUGUACACCCAUGGUGGCUGUGGGGAUAUUGGAUCUCACCAAUGAUGUAUGGACAGAAUGCUAUCGCUGUGAAUGAAUUUCUUGGGGAUAGCUGGAGACAUGUGCUUCCCAAUUCCUCAGAACCAUU